rnacentral:rRNA from 1 species
UAGGGAAUAUUCCGCAAUGGGCGAAAGCCUGACGGAGCAACGCCGCGUGAGUGAAGAAGAUCUUCGGAUUGUAUAGCUCUGUCAACAGGGACGAUAAUGACGGUACCUGUGGAGGAAGCCACGGCAAACUACGUGCCAGCAGCCGCGGUAAUACGUAGGUGGCAAGCGUUGUCCGGAAUAACUGGGCGUAAAGCGCAUGUAGACGGCAUAGCAAGCCAAGUGUGAAAUUUCGGGGCUUAACCUCUAAACUGCGCUUGGAACUGCUGAGCUAGAGUGCAGGAGAGGCAAGUGGAAUUCCCCGUGUAGCAGUGAAAUGCGUAGAUAUUGGGAGGAACACCAGUGGCGAAGGCGACUUGCUGGACUGAAACUGACGUUGAGAUGCGAAAGCUAGGGGAGCAAACG